rnacentral:lncRNA from 1 species
AUGGUAGUGGCUGCAAUGGCUAACCUUCUGGUAAGAAAAUCUACCUCCCACUACACCCUGCAGGUAUCAAACCCUGACUGGAGAUGUUACUUGCAGGAGUCUUUGCAGAAUAUACAAAGAUCUCUGGAUGCGACAAAUCUCCUUUACAAUUUCUGUAUUUGUUGUUUCAUAUUUUAGAAUUCUGUAGUGCCACUUAAGCAGAUGUGGCCCAGUACAAGAGGCCUGUUUUACCAUUUUCAGCUUUCCAGCUUAGCACCUAUAUUAAUUUUAUUUGGCCUAUUUUGGAGCUGAAGAAAAGGCAAAAACUAGUGUUUCAGAGUAAAUUCUAUGGUUUUGUAGACAUUGCUUUAAAUCCAGCCAGGUGGUUCAACUUUAUACAUGUUAUGGUGGCUUCUCUUCCUGUCCCUCUCUUAAGCCAUACAAUCUACUUUGACAACUGAUGCUCAUUAAAUUUACUUACCAUGGACGUGCACAUAGGGUGUAUCUGGUGUGCCUAGGCACACCCUAAUGCAGCCAGAGGCAGCCUUUCUUUUAUUUAAUACAUUUCCAUUCAUUUAAGUUUAUUAAUUGUAUUUGAACUGCUCCUAUCAGUCUUACACUCCUCCUGUAUGUAUCAUUGGUAGUACAAUCUGGACUCAGACCUAGAGUUAGAAAUUAAGAAUGCCUUGUGAGCUCUUCUCGCGAGCAUGCUUGGAGAACUAAUUUUUGGUCUCUAAUAGACUGCAGCUGAAGAGGCGCCUAGGACACUGUAGAGCUGACAAAUACCUCUGGCAGCCCGGCAAGUACUAGUGAGGCACUGGAAGUGACUGAUGUGACUCUAGAGCCAUCAUUCUGAUUGCCAUCAGGCUUAUGCAGGGCCGACACUACCAAGCACUGACCCAUCAAAGAUCUCCCUGUUCUUAAAAUAUAGAGAUUAUUAUUAGAUUAGCCAUAGACCAGUGGUAGGCAACCUUCAGCACGACAGAUGUUGUGGACUACAUCUCCCAUACGCACUUACACAAUAAUGCUAGCAAAGCAUCAAGAGAAAUGUAGUCAAUAUGCUGGCUAAGCAUCAAGAUAGAUGCACACCUGGACUGUAGAAGGUUGCCGACCUCUGUCAUAGAUUUACAGCCUGCUUACCUGAUUUAUCCCAUUGCAUAAUCACUGAUGACGCCACUAAAUAUUCAGUUUUGUUUUCAUUUCUUUGUUUUUGUUUUUUUAUGUGCGGGGUUCCACAUAAUUGUCCAUUGUGACAUUUAAAGGGACGCUGUAGGCACCAGAACCUCUACAGAUUAAUGUAGCGGUUCUGUGGUAAACAGCUUGUCCCUGCAGUCUUUCCGAUGUAACUGUCUUUUUAUUUAUUUUUUUAAAGGCAGUGUUUACACUGUGCCCUAGUAACAUCACUAGAUGUCUUCACUCAGACAGCCACUAGAGGGAUUUCUUCAGUUACGACAUUGCAGGUGCUGUGAAUGCUUCUGCAGAGUCACACACACACACAGCAUGCAUGCGCAGUGUAGUGCUCAAUUCUACUCAUUUAGCAAUAUUAGUGCUAGGCUGAAUGCCGGCUACUGCCGCACAAGCACUAUAUGUGUCUAUGAGAAACGUGGGGCCCAUUAUUCUAAAAGAAGACAAUAUAACACAUGUGGUAGCUAAAUAAGAUUUCUACUUUUCUCGAGUUUGUUUGCCUACACCAUACACAAUGCGCUAUUCUCCCCUAGGUUGUUUUGUUUUGUUUUUCAACACAGGACCUCUUCUUUUCUGUUAUUUCUAUUUCUUAAAACAUAAGAGAAGGCUCGGCUACUAUUAACAUACACACUACAAGAUGCAUAGACAACUCAGCUGUGUUUUUGAAUUUGCAGUAGCAUUGCCUUAACACAAGCACAAACAGUCACAGACAGGCACACACAGACAAGCACACCAUCUUAUAGUAAUGUGCAUAGUAGAGUAUCACAGAGCUCCACAACUAUGUGUUAAUAUAUAUAAUUUUUUUGUUUUAAGUGUAGAAUGUGUGUCUACGGGCUAUAGAGAGUGUGUAUACAGUACAUACAGUGCAUGUGUAGGGGAAAUAGAGUGUUUGUGGAGAGGAUGCAGUGUGUGAGGAAUGCAUUUUGUGUGCUGGUGAUGCAGUAUAUAUAGGAAAUGUUUUGUGUGUAUACUGGGGAGCCGGUGUGUGUGUGUGUAUAUAUAUAUAUAUAUAUAUAUAUAUAUACACUCACGCACAAUUUAAAUUCUACUUGGCACUCCACCAACAAAAUAACUAAAGUAAGAACUCUGUUAUACAAGCCCCCUCCCCCCGGUUACCUUUAAAGCAGCGAGAGGUUUAUUAUGACAACCCCUGUUUUUUCAGUGUGUGUAGAGCCUCUGAUCUCUCAUUUUGUUAGGAGCAAACCUUUUAUAAUGGCUCUCUCGAGUUCCAGACUCUUAAUUUCAGAGCUUUGCCAUGGUAACCCAAGAUUCUGAACAUCCUGGAGCUCACAGGAGCCAUACACCAGCUCUACAUCCAGCAGAGAGUGUGCGCAGAGGCGCUUUGGGCUCUGCAUUCCUCUCCACAGUGGGAGAAACACGUUGGUGAGGGUAGUCUUGAACUCCACCAGUGCAUAAAGGCACCCUUCUGCAUGGACAGCAGGGUGUUUAGGAAGUGCUGCCAUCCCUGCAGAAAGGUCAUUCUGGGCUUAAUAAUCCCCCUGUUGAAGCCAUGGUGUACAUUAAUUUAACAGCAGAUGAUUUACAGCAGCUGUGAAAUUAAAAGAGUUAACUCAUCAGGCAAAAUUAAAAUCCAUGAAAACAAAAUUAAUCAGCAUGCUUAAAUGAAAUGAAGCAUAAUUUACACAACACAAGCUUCAAGCCAUUUGAGCUUAUUCCCAGGGAGAAGGGAUACGCCUUUUUUAAACAAGGAAUUUAAAUGUCAUUUAACAAUUAUGAAUUAGCCUAAAGGGAAACAUACAUAGUAAAACAAACAGUUUUCUUUUAAGUCAUUUCACAACUGUAAACAUCUAUACAAUUUCACCGGUAUGGAUCGAAUAAUUGAUAAUACAGUAUAAUAAGGAGAGAGGAGGAGAAGGGGAAGAGGGAUAAAAAAAAUAGAUGGCUUCACUCUCAGUCUUUUAUAAAAUCCAAAACUUAUUUUAUAUCCAUUAAAAAGAUCAAUGUUUCAGUCCCUCUAGAGGACUUCCAUCAGGAACAAAGAUGUUUUUGCAUCCGGCUAUGAAUGUUUAUACAGCAUGAGUGCAGGGAUUUACAGCAAUGUAUAUAUAUAAUAUAUAUAUAUAUAUAUAUAUAUAUGGAAGGCGUGGCCUGAAGUUGUGGGAGGAGCUUGGUUUCCCUUCUUAAGGAGCACCAGCCCUUCCCUCACUACCGUCUUAGGUCUGGUGAGUUGUGGACAGGGAUCUUCACUUCCUGUCGAUCCAAACUCCAUUUUACUUACCUGCAUCUCGUGGGCAGCUUCCCGGGUCCCAACGGUUCCCGUUUCUCCGGUUUCGGCUGUCUGACUUUGAAAUCAGACAAGGGGUUUCACGGGACGUCUCGUGACGGCAUCCGGUCGCAAAAUCGUAAGUUCUACAGCCGUCGCAAUUGCGGCACGGCCAAUUAUGUCAUCAAAGGUCGACGGGCGCACGCAUGGUAGCGCAUUUCGGGACACAUUUUAGGCGAAUGCUGGCGAUGGGCGAUGUUUAGCAUUUCAGUGAUUAUGGACCUCUUAUGUUUCAGUAUCAACAGCAUCCACAGUGUGCUGCUACUCUACCAACUUUUCACCUGCUAUAGGUCAGUAAUCACGAUUAAUUAUCCUCUGAUGGUCUCGCAAGACCUGGGUCCUUAUGUGUAUUUUUCUGUAUUACUAGAUAUAGGCAUCCUUGCUCCUUUUGAGUAGUUGGUUCCAGUCUCCUACUGUUGGAAUAUUUACUGGUAGGUAUCUUGUUAGCAGGGGGAAUGAUGGGUACAUAUUGAUAUAACCCUGAAAACUCACAAUUACUCUCGUAGGUUACUACAGAUCGCCUGUAUCACCUUUUUCUACUACCUUGCAAUUUGCUCAUCAGGUACAUCAUGUUUCUCUCGAUAAUUCUCCCAUCCUCCCUACCCUUUUAAGGGGUUCAUAGUACAGAUAUAUACUGGCAUAUAAAAUAGGAGCCUCUAGUAAUGUUUUCUGGCCUUCUACGCCUUACGUUAGUGGUCCCGCGAGGCCAACACCCAUCCUCAUUUUGGAGGUAUGGCAUUCCCUCGGGCCAAUUCAUAGGUAGCCGCCUCGUUCGGUUGCAUAGAGAGGGCCUCACUUGUCACUCCCAUUCUGUCUUAUGCUAUUACAAGUCACGGAGAGGCCAUCACCCCGCCAUAAUGUCAAUGGCCACGUACCCCACACGAGCCAAAUCAUAGAUAGUGCCUCUCAAAGCCGCUUGGCAACUAGCAGGGCCUCACCUGUCAUGUUAUUACUUAAUAGUUUCGCCGCUUGGCGUUAGUUGCAUCAGCCAGUUGGGUAGUGCCCCAGGUAACAUGUUAAUUUGUUUUGUAGCAUGUCACAAAUACCUUAAGGCGGGGAAUAAUUGUCCAUCCCCAGUUCACCAGCUAGAUCGGUCACUCCAUCCCGGGGUGACGACAACGCAAGCCCUGCAUCACUCAGGGCAUGGACCAUUCCUAGGAUCACUGCCAAACUGAGAAAGAGGAACAUUCCUUUCCCAGCUACGGCUAGGAAAGCUGAAUUAUAUAGACUGAUAACUCGGGGGCGGGGGAAGGGUCCAGUAGCAGCCUGAUCUACAUUGUGUUUAAGCAGUGUUCUAAGCAGUUGUAUACUGCAAACACAGAUUAAAAGGAAUCCAUGUUUAAAAUGGAAUGAGGCAAAAAUGUGAUUCUUUGUUAAACUAAUUUGCAUAUGCCCACCCAGAAUCCUUUGCGGUUGUAACAUCACUGCAGAUUUGGGAUUUCUGUGGGAAAAGCAAGUCUUAUGGCUUGACUGGUGUGCAGAUUUUUAUUUAACAUUGUAUUAACUAUAUAUAUAUAUAUAUACAUACACACACACACACACACACAUUGUCUUCCAAGAUAUUAGACUGCCCCUCCCCAUCUAAACCCAUCAUACAUGGACAUUUCAAUAUGUUGCCCAAUAAUGAAAGGAACAGGCUGAAUAUCCUCACUAUCAUAUUGGCAUAGAGCUAUAGAUUAAAAUCACACUUUGGCAUCUGCCAAACUUUCCACUGAAUUUUGAAAUUUAAGAUUCUGUAAGACACCUUAAUAACCAAAUCAGCUCAUUUAUCAUAAAACAAUUUUUGUAGGCUACCAAACAAGGCAAGACAAUGUCCUCAAAACUAAACUCUUCACUGACAAGUUUACUUCUUCUAGCAAACAAACUACAUCUAAUCAUACUCAAAUGUUGAAAUUGGUUCUAGACUAACUUAAACCCCAGAUAUAAAUUUUAAUCACACCAACUUCACUAAAUUGAAGAAGUGCUUUUUUUUUUUUCUUUUUUUUUUUUCUUUAGAAAAGAAAGAACAUAUUAUUUAGGGGAGCUCUGAGUGGAAGCAUUUUUCAGGGUUCUUACCUGAAGUCGGAGUUUGUUUGCUCACCCUUGCAGAUAGAUACAGUCCAAGGUGACCAGGUAAGAAGCCACCUGGACUGUGAGUCUGUGCACUGGGGGCUGUGCAGGAAAGGUGAUUCCAAUGCAAUACCGACAAGGACACAAACAGCAGGAUAGUUGAGCGAUAGCUAAAGUCAAAGGAUCAAAGGAUGCCAGAGGUCAGGAUAAACAAAGUGUAUCCAAAGUCAAGGGAUGUCAGAGGUCAGAAUAAACAAAGACAGAAGUCGGGGUCAAUAUGGAGUAUAAGGUCAAGAGACUAGAACACAGGAACUGAACACAUACACCAGGAUCAAAUACUUGAUAACAUUCCCAGGGCAAGGCAGUGCUUAUAUACCCAGCUAAUGACUGAUCUGUCUCAGGUGAAGCACAGGCAAUGACCACAGAAGAAGUCCAGCCCCUGUGCUGUAGACAUAGCCAGGUAGAACAGUGCUAGAGCUACUCCAAAGAAUAGGAACUGCUGUGAGAAUAGCAGGGCCAGGACAGCAAAGGACCCAGGUUCAAACCCCCCUGUUGGGCACCUCUGGGGCGGCCACACUUGGCCGUCUGUAUGGCACGGUGAGAACCAGAAUAGGUCCAUUUGCCAGUGGACCUAUUUAUUGAUGUUCUUAUAUAUUCCAAGAGAGCUAAUUCCCUCUCUCCUACAUUGAGUUCUCAAUUUAAUGUAGCCUCCAGGUUCCAUUUUACUAAAAUUGAAAUGAUAGCACAUCACCCCAGCAUCAAACAGAGCUGAGGGAUACCUUCCAUUCCAUUUGUGUGAGUGUUAACCUUUUUACCUGUUCUGUUUAUAAUUUGGCAAUGUAAUAUGUAGUUGAAUGGUGAAUAGAUAUAGGUUACCACUACAUACACUUUGUCGGUAGCAGGUCAGGCUCACGUGCCAUAGAUCUUAUACAUUUGUAUGAGUCAGAUUUAAUUCAUUGUUAUUCACUACCUUUCAGACAUGGUGUAGAUUUUGCAAGAAGGUAAGAUAUUUUGCUGAGAGCUCACUCAUUCUCCCUGUGCUAGGUAGUCUGUUUUCCUCUUCACUACUAUCCAUGCUUUGUUAGAUGUAGAUUACUUUGGUCAGGGACUGAUGGGUGAUCUGGACCACUGAUUUCGUCGAUCUGUACCUCCAAGACAAUUGUAGAUGCCUAUCUUAUAAUCAACAAACCCUUACAUACAGCUACAUUUCUGGACACCCAUAAUUCUACAUAGGUUAUAUUGUUUAUGAGAUUAUGACAUACUAUGUUUGUCAGUGUGUACAGAGACCUCCUUGUCUCUUGUUAUUACUUCAUCUCUGUCCCAUUGCACCAGGAAUUUAAUAAAGAUAAUAGGGAAAGCAUGAGGCUGUGUACCUCAACUAUAUUGUAUCCUAAAGAAGGAAAAAUAGCAUUGCUUCAUUCUGUUUAUUAGCCCUUCAUAGCUGCAAUUAAAGCUCUAAUACAUAUUUGCUUCUAAGAGAUUCAGAAGACUGAGAUUUAGCUUAUAAUUAGUCCAUAAUAUGGGUAGACUGGUAUAUAUUACAAUCAAUAAAUCAUCAUACUGGCCCAUUGUAAUUUUGCUGUCUAAAGGUGAUAGUUUAUUAAUACCAGUCCAACAGGGCAGAGAAUGUGUGAACAAUUCCAAUUGAUGUCUAAUUAGACAUGGCAAUGUAUACUAUACAUUUAUAAUUACACUAGGACAGCGUGAGCUGAUUUGUAUGGUUAAUUACUAUUGGAGCAACUUGAUUUUGGCAAUGUAAAAUGAAUCCAUAUUCUUCAUAAUUAUUUAUCCCCUGGCUGGGUUCUCUGUGUCUUAUUUAUGUUCAUUUUAUUUCACAUUAUAUAAUGGUUGUGUCAUUUUGUAUAAAGUUUAUGGUUAUUUUAAUUGAAAAUAAUCAUUGUCAUCUAGGCUGUUCUCAGUGAAAAAAUAUGAUUUAUGUAUGGGCAACUGAAAGGGGAAAAGGUGGAUUAUGUGAAUCCUGGUUUCACUGCUAAUAUUUUGGAAACUAAGUUCAGAAAGAAAAGCACUCCAUAUUUGGUGUUUGUCCCAGUGUAAAAAUAAGAGGCUUAGACACAUUUCUUGACGAAUGACAGGACUGCUAUUUUCAUUCUAUCUACCUUAGGCUAAUUCUCAGCAUUAUGUGGAUUUGUGUUUCCACAUGUUUAAACAGCUUCUGGUCAGACAUAAUACCUCGUCAAGCCAUGUAGAAUUUUAUAAUGCAUGUGUCAAACCAACGGGCAAUGAAAAGUGUAUGUUUGUAUGGAGAAAUUUAUGCCUUUAAGGAAUAAAUUGUGUAUUUUUACAUUUCUGCAAAAAACUGAUUUAACAAGAAAAUGACAAAUUCGUAGCUAAACUAAUAAAAAUGUAGUCGUUGUUUAGCAAACCAGGGGCAGUUUGAGAGUGAGUUGCACUUCCAUAUUUAGUGGUGGUGCAAUAGAUAGAAAAAAGCGUUGGAUUGAGCUCUCAUAUCACUGUAAUAAUAACAAUACAAUGUUAUUGCUGUGGAGCUCUGUUAUACCCUCUUACAAUAUGUUUUAUUGGUUUGAAGCUCUGUGAUAUCAUUCAUAUAUUGCACAUCAUUCCUUCUCCCUUCCUCGUAUGUCCCUUGUCUCAUUCCCUUUCCCUUUCCCUUUUCACAUACAUCCAUCUCCCCAAGCCAUCAUGUCUUCAUUUCACCCACUUAUUCUAUGCACUUCCCCACUGAUUACACCUAUUCUGUAAUACCCUCCCGAUUUCCCCUUUUAAACAAACUCCCCCUCCUUAUUAAACUUCAUUUAUCCUUAAACUUCUUUUUUAUCAGUCUCCCCCAAUUUAUUAUAUAUCUGACCUACAUGUUAUGUCCCCUCCACAUCUCGUUCUAUUCUUCCCACAAAUUAUUUUUUUUAUUUCUUUCCCUCCUCUACCCUUUACACAACUUUCCUUUCCCAUCUAUCAUGCAGGAAGCAGUGAUGGGCAGCUGCGAUACAUACUUUCAUGCGAAAAGACAGGUCUUACCACUGGCAUUCCAUUGUAAUCAUAUAUAAAAUAAAGCACGCGGACGCAUUCGACUUUACAGUCUUCUACUUCACAGUGUUUGUUUAUGUAUUUUUAUGUAUGUAUUUAUGUAUGUAUUUUUUUUUUACUCGGUUAAUAAAAGAGUGUUUUUGAGUGUUUUUUAUACUGUUUCCUGCUCUGAAUUUCUUCCACACGGAUGCAAUAUCAAGGCCUUGAUAUGCAAAGAAGAGAUUUCUUGGGUCAUUCGUGUUCGGAUCAUGCCAUUGAAAAUCAUUCAUACUUAUAUUGCUUUUUUUUGUCUCCACUUGAUAAAGCCACUAUAGGUGAAACGCGUUGUGGAUAUUUUAUAUAUUUUAUUCUGUAUUCCAAAUAAAGGUAUUUUGGCUACUUUUAAAUCACUCUGAUUGUGCCAUUUUACUCGUUUAUUUAUUAUUUUUAAUUUUGCUUGGUAUCCUGAUUUUAUCUCUCCUGCUGAGUAUUACUCCAAAGACAUCCGAGGUGGGGAUUUUACGACUCACGCCUAAGUCAUUGAGCAGUCCGCCUGCUCAAUCCUAUGUGAGUACACAUUUUAUUAUUUAUACUCCUUAUAUGAGUUUUUAUACAGCGAGCACUAUUAGUUGUCUCUCUUCUCCCUUACGAUUUACAUAUUGGCAAAAGACUUAACCCUCUACAUGCAUCCUACAAGCGGGGAUUAUACCGCUGUACGCUAUUCAUACUAGAGCUGGCUUAAGCUCUACUAAACGUGAGUAGGACUGUAUUAGACUCUGUUGUUCUAAACAGCAUCUUUACCAGACGUACUGCCCUUUCAUCUGUCUUUCUCUUCCACAUACAGAGUAAAAGACCGGUACUUCUCUACGUAUCCUAUAAGUGGGGAUUGUACUGCUGUUUGCCAUCCACACUAGAGUUAGUUCAGCUCUACUACACGUGAGUAGGAUUUCUAUAGAUCUCUUCUUCCUGCAUAUCAACCCUCGUAUCAGACGUAUUUGCACUAUUAUUUGUUUCUUUCUUUACAUACAGAUCCUGAUAAACCAUCUUCAAGUGACCCUUAGAGAGAAUACUCCUCCACAAAGGCCGUCGGUGCCCCAUCAGGCCCAACUAAAGACUUUGUUUUGGCACCACUUACACUUUGGACUUUGUUCAUUUCAGCUGCACUUUAGCCAGCUUUGGCGCAACCUUCUUCUGUUUUGUCUUGUAUUUUACCUUUGUUCAUAGGGCUUAGAGAGAACCCUAUUUUUAGGUUGCUGCCUCCUACUUUAUCUAUUUAUAGGAUUGGUCUAUUUUAGUGCUGUUUCCUUCUUUUGUACAUUUAUAUUGCUAAGUGUUGUUGUAUAUGGUGCAAGCAUAUAGUUUUUUUGUUUGUUUUUUUAUAUAUUUUUGUUUACUAUGAAUUGUGUUGGAACACUUUGUGAGCUGCAU